ACUGCUUCUGCCUAGCUCACUCAAGAACCCAGCCCCCAUAGUGUGAGGAGGCCUAGGACAGUUACAGAAGCCAUGUGUAGGUGUUCUGGCUCCAGCAAAAGUCUUAUCUGACAACAUCAACUACAUGUUAGUGGCCUUUCCUUGAAAUUGCUGGAGCUUGUGCAUCAUCAAAAUAAUGGCAUAAACCAAGGAAGAAGAAAACAAAAUUGAGGAAAUGGGAUCCAACACAAAAGAGAGACAACAGGAUUAAUUGAGUGUUGGUGAAAAGCCACAGCCUGUAAAUAAUGCAGUUCGAACUGAAAUAGACCAGGAGGCUCAAGGAGAGACUUCUUCAAGAAGAUAAAAUUGAUAGAAUGCCUAAGGAGUUUGAGUGCAUUGAGAAUAGAUUCAUAUCAGUUCUGGAGAACUGGGUGGAUACAUUAAUGUUAAGUACAUAGAAAAGUUAAAAAUGAAAAAAAUUCUCAAUUCUAGGGAAAAUAAUCAUAGUAAACUACAUGUUUUAGUUACCAAUAGUGUUUACGUAGUCAAUAUAAACAAUGGGCAUUGAUAUAAAUAAUGUAUGUUGAUCUGCUAUAACAAGACUAACCAGAAUUGGCUACAGUUUCUUCAAGAAAAUACCCCAAUGGAAGAAAAAAAGGUGGAGGGAGAAACUGAAUGAAGAAAGGAUGAUUUGAAAUUACCAGAAAGUGGAACGUGGAAAAAACAGAGUAAAACUAGUUUGAGAAUAAAAUCUUAGGUUGUAACAUCUUCUGGGAAUUUAUUCUUUAAAUAUUGCUUUUAACUGGAUUCUUUGGUAAA
rnacentral:lncRNA from 1 species